rnacentral:rRNA from 1 species
UACGUAGGGGGCGAGCGUUGUCCGGAAUCAUUGGGCGUAAAGCGCGUGUAGGCGGCUUGGUAAGUCCGGUGUGAAACCUUGGGGCUCAACCCCAAGCCUGCACUGGAUACUGCCUCGCUUGAGUCCGGGAGGGAGAGCGGAAUUCCUAGUGUAGCGGUGAAAUGCGCAGAUAUUAGGAAGAACACCGGUGGCGAAGGCGGCUCUCUGGAACGGUACUGACGCUGAGACGCGAAAGCGUGGGGAGCGAAC